CUCAAUAAUAAGGCUAGGCAGCAGGAAGUGGUUUGCUGUAUCAAACACUUGAGCUUGCCUCACAACAUGCAGCACAACAAGGUUCUUGGAUCCAGGUACAUGAGGUACUGGUGGUCAUACUUUGUACGCUGCCUGUCACCUCCUGGUAAGCUGAUCAAUCUUUUAGUGGCCUGAAAAGAAAAGAAUCAAGACUGUCGUCAGAUCAAGCAAAGGAACAAACGUUUAUCAUCACUUACACUUCUACAUUUACACAGAGACUAGACUAGACAUGAUUGCAUUGA